rnacentral:rRNA from 1 species
GACGAACGCUGGCGGCGUGCUUAACACAUGCAAGUCGAACGGAAAGGCCCUGCUUUUGUGGGGUGCUCGAGUGGCGAACGGGUGAGUAACACGUGAGUAACCUGCCCUUGACUUUGGGAUAACUUCAGGAAACUGGGGCUAAUACCGGAUAGGAGCUCCUGCUGCAUGGUGGGGGUUGGAUGGUUUCGGCUGUUGGGGUGGGACACGCGGCCUAUGAGGUUGUUGGGUGGGUAGUGGCUUACCAAGGCCUGGACGGGUAGCCGGCCUGGGAGGGUGACAUGCCACACUGGGACUGAGAUGCGACCCAGACUCCUACGGGAGGGAGCGGUGGGGAAUAUAGUACAAUGGGCGGAACCCUGAUGCAACAACGCAGCGUGGGGGAUGACGGCCAGCGGGUUGUAUUCCGCUUCCGCCUGUGACGAAGCGUGAAUGACAGUAAUGGGUGAAGAAGCACCGGCUAACUACGUG